GUCUAAAUCCCCCGGCUGCUGCUUUCACCUACUACGUACUGACUUCCAUUAAUGCUUUUCUCCGAGUCUUAUUAAAUUUUUUUCUUUGGUAUAAUUCAAUGAGAGUCCAACUCAAUACCAUAUAAUUCUGGAGGAGGACUCCAGAAUUUCGACUCCAGAAUUAGGUAUUUUGUUUUGAUUUUUUAAACAGGAACCAACAAUGAAAGUUACCUGGUAUUUGCUUGCUUUCCUCUUGAUCCAUGGGCUGCUCCUUUGUAGUUGUGAAGGGAAGGCCCUUGAAUGGGAAUCCCCUUCUACUGAAUUUUCUCAUCAUCAUUACAAGCUGAAGGUGUUGACCAGAAGGCCUUUUCAUAGAAUAUCACCACCACCACCUCCUAAGCUUAACAAUCGUCCUCAACAGAAGCCAAAACCGCCACCAUUACCAUCACCACCGCCACCCUCACCCUAUCCCAUAUAAUCACCUUCAUAUUGACUCUAUAUUUUUCUUGGUUCAGAAGCUUCUUUGUGUUGAAAUCUGAUUCAAAAAUUGGUAAAAAUUGGACUUUGUCUUUGAUGUUAGUUUUAGCUGUAGAUUCUUGCCCCUUAAUUUUCUGUCUUCAGUUGAUAGAAUGAAUCUAGAAGUAUUGGCAAUAAUAUCUGAUGUUAGUUGAGAUUUUUUCAGCCUUUUCACUUUGCUUGUGCACUUUCAGUUCUGGAAUAAAUAGCAGAUAGCUUCAAUUUCUGCAUUUCUUUAUCUUAUUUCCUUUUCUGCAAUUUCUUAUGCCCUGUUGCUUAAAUUCUCAACAUUUGUUCUGUUCAGAUUAGUUUUUCUUUUCCAGAUUUUUAAUUUACUCAUAUUUAUUAGUUUAGUUGUCUAUUGGGGAUCGUCAUGAUAUCAAUUGACACUAUAAAUAUGAAUGGAGUAAAGAUGCAGAAACUUGGUUGAAAUGGUCAGUGAUAAAUAAAUAGUAGGAAGGAUGAUGGGAUCCAAACUAUUUAUCUUGUUCAGCAAUUGGAAUUUUCAGUUCAUACUUGUUCACAUUCAUCUGGAUCUUCAUCAACUAUUUACAUGACUGCAACUCAUAUAUACUUUAGUUUCUGGGUCUUCCUUGGAAAUUAUUCUGUCGUUUUAUUUAUUUAUUUUCAAGAUCCUAACAUUCUUUAGCAAAGUAACAAGCCUACCAUCAUGAGCCACAGAUUUUCUCAGGACUUGCUGCAAUGCAGUCAUGAGUAAUCAUGAAUUGGAGGUUUUGACUUGUUUUUUUUUUUUUAAAUAGUAAAAACAUCCGUUUCAUUUAUCUUUGUAAUCUGCGUAAGAAAUUAAAGAAGAUCAUUAUAAUAUUAAAAGUAUCAAAUCAAAAGAAAUCAGCCAUAACUGCCAAAUAGCCUAUCUCAAAAGACAACAUGAAACACUGCCAACCGUUGAUUCCGACUACGAAGAGAAAAGACAAGAAACUGAUAGCCCAGUGAUGAGCAGUGGAGGGAGAAGGAGGCAUGGGAAUUACACCAACCCCUGCUUGACCAUGCACCAA
rnacentral:misc_RNA from 1 species